rnacentral:rRNA from 1 species
CAGUCGCCGCGGUAAAACGGAGGAUCCAAGCGUUAUCCGGAUUUAUUGGGUUUAAAGGGUGCGUAGGCGGCCUGUUAAGUCAGGGGUGAAAGACGGUAGCUUAACUAUCGCAGUGCCCUUGAUACUGAUGGGCUUGAAUGUACUAGAGGUAGGCGGAAUGUGACAAGUAGCGGUGAAAUGCAUAGAUAUGUCACAGAACACCAAUUGCGAAGGCAGCUUACUAUGGUAUGAUUGACGCUGAGGCACGAAAGUGUGGGGAUCAAACAGGAUUAGAUACCCCGGUAGUCCCUGUCUCUUAUAA